GGAAGGAUCAUUAACACUAAUCCAACUCAACUCAACGAAGCCUUCAGUUGCAGUAGUGCGAGCUAGCGAAAGCAAAGCAGUGCCGCUGCAGCAACAAAACAAACUAAUCAAACAAAGGAGCCUAACUAAGCUCAACCACAACAACCAAAUUCUCAACGAUGGAUAUCUUGGUUCCCAUAACGAUGAAGAACGCAGCGAAGUGCGAUAAGCAAUGCGAAUUGCAGAACCGUGAGUCAUCAGAUUUUUGAACGCAUCUGGCGCCGGCUGGCUCUCCAGCCGGCAUGCUUGUUUCAGUGUCUUGUUUUCUCCUCACCUAAAUCUUAAUGCGAGAGAUACCCUUCUCUUGUCAAGCAAGAAAGCACUCUGCGCUCUGCGAGCGACUUCGACUUGUUCGAGGGUCGCACUCAAUGCAGCAGUCACAUUGCUCACAAUGUGAACUCAUUGAGAGCAGAGGCAGUGCAGCAUCCGCUGCCAGUGCUUAGACACGCCAACUUUCUUUGCAUCUGAAAUCAAGCAGGAUCACCCGCUGAACUUAAGCAUAUCACUAAGCGGAGGAAAAGAAAUUAACUAAGAUUGCCUCAGUAACGGCGAGUGAAGCGGCAAGAGCCCAAGCUGGAAAUCUUCGCACUGCGUGCGACGAAUUGUAAUCUAAAGAGGGUUCGCUCAACGGGCGGUGGCGCAGAAGUGCCCACGAACGGGCCGCCAGAGAGGGUGAAAGCCCCGUAUGUGGUGCCACUGCUUAACGAGCGGGUCUUUGAAGAGUCGGGUUGUUUUGUAUUGCAGCCCUAAGUGGGGGAUAAACUUCCUCUAAGGCUAAAUAUUUAUGGGAAACCGAUAGCGAACAAGUACUGUGAAGGAAAGAUGAAAAGAACUUUGAAAAGAGAGUCAAAAGACUUGAAAUCGUUGAGAAGGAAGCGGUAGAAAUUUAUUCUUCGGCGUCGAACGGUGGCUUCUGCCUAACCAUUGCUUGUUGUCAGCACUUCAUAGGCUGCUGCAGGUACCUGGGGAAGCGGCUGUUUUGUUCGGCGUCGUGAGGCAAAAUGGGGUCGCACAUCCGCAGAGGCUUCUCAGACCUGGCUCGGUUCGCUGGGCAGUCUGGGUGUGCUGGUGGGCGUGCGGCCCGAGGGUGCUUCGUGCGAUUUUGCCAAAAUGGUUUUUACCGACCCGUCUUGAAACACGGACCAAGGAGUCUAACAUAUAUGCGAGUGUGCUGGUGGAAAAACCAACACGCACAAUGAAGGUAACUGAUGCCAUGCGCAAGCGGCAGCAUCGACCGACCAUGAUCCUCCGGUGAAAGGUUUGAGUACGAGCAUAUCUGCUAGGACCCGAAAGAUGGUGAACUAUGCCUGAGUAGGGUGAAGCCAGGGGAAACUCUGGUGGAGGCUCGUAGCGUUACUGACGUGCAAAUCGUUCGUCAAACUUGGGUAUAGGGGCGAAAGACUAAUCGAACCAUCUAGUAGCUGGUUCCCUC
rnacentral:misc_RNA from 1 species